GUGCUGGUGGUGUAGGGGUUAAGCACGCGAUACAUAUAUAGGGGCUACAGUCCUCGAAGUGGUCCUGUCUUGGGUUCGAGUCCCAGACCCGGAGACC